rnacentral:misc_RNA from 1 species
GAUGAAGAACGCAGCGAAAUGCGAUAAGUAAUGUGAAUUGCAGAAUUCAGUGAAUCAUCGAAUCUUUGAACGCACAUUGCGCCCGCCAGUAUUCUGGCGGGCAUGCCUGUUCGAGCGUCAUUUCAACCCUCAAGACCCCUUCGGGGGACUUGGUGUUGGGGACCGGCACAGGGGCCUGCCUGCUUGUCUUGCAGCGCCCUCGCCGCCCCCGAAAUGAAUUGGCGGCCUCGUCGCGGCCUCCCCUGCGUAGUAGCACAAACCUCGCAACGGGAACGUGACGGCGGCCACUGCCGUAUAACAACCCAAUUUUAUUAGAGUUGACCUCGAAUCAGGUAGGAAUACCCGCUGAACUUAAGCAUAUCAAUAAGCGGAGGA